rnacentral:rRNA from 1 species
GAUGAACGCUAGCGGCAGGCCUAACACAUGCAAGUCGAGGGGUAGAGGAAGCUUGCUUCCUUGAGACCGGCGCACGGGUGCGUAACGCGUAUGCAAUCUGCCUUGUACUGAGGGAUAGCCCAGAGAAAUUUGGAUUAAUACCUCAUAGCAUUAUGAAAUCGCAUGGUUUUAUAAUUAAAGUUCCAACGGUACAAGAUGAGCAUGCGUCCCAUUAGUUAGUUGGUAAGGUAACGGCUUACCAAGAAGAUGAUGGGUAGGGGUCCUGAGAGGGAGAUCCCCCACACUGGUACUGAGACACGGACCAGACUCCUACGGGAGGCAGCAGUGAGGAAUAUUGGUCAAUGGACGCAAGUCUGAACCAGCCAUGCCGCGUGCAGGAUGAAGCAUCUAUGGUGUGUAAACUGCUUUUGUACGGGAAGAAACACUCCUACGUGUAGGAGCUUGACGGUACCGUAAGAAUAAGGAUCGGCUAACUCCGUGCCAGCCGCCGCGGUAAGAC